rnacentral:rRNA from 1 species
UACGAAGGGGGCGAGCGUUGUUCGGAUUUACUGGGCGUAAAGGGCGCGCAGGCGGCUCAUUUUGUCAGGCGUGAAAGCCCCGGGCUUAACCUGGGAACUGCAUUCGAGACUGCAUUGCUAGAGUAUGGGAGAGGGAAGUGGAAUUUCCGGUGUAGCGGUGAAAUGCGUAGAGAUCGGGAGGAACAUCUGUGGCGAAGGCGACUGCCUGGACCAGCACUGACACUGGAGGCACGAAAGCGUGGGGAGCAAACACGG